rnacentral:rRNA from 1 species
UUUAUUGGAGAGUUUGAUCCUGGCUCAGGAUGAACGCUGGCGGCGUGCCUAAUACAUGCAAGUCGAGCGAAUGGAUUAAGAGCUUGCUCUUAUGAAGUUAGCGGCGGACGGGUGAGUAACACGUGGGUAACCUGCCUAUAAGACUGGGAUAACUCCGGGAAACCGGGGCUAAUACCGGAUAAUAUUUUGAACCGCAUGGUUCGAAAUUGAAAGGCGGCUUCGGCUGUCACUUAUGGAUGGACCCGCGUCGCAUUAGCUAGUUGGUGAGGUAACGGCUCACCAAGGCAACGAUGCGUAGCCGACCUGAGAGGGUGAUCGGCCACACUGGGAC